rnacentral:rRNA from 1 species
UACGUAGGGGGCAAGCGUUGUCCGGAUUUAUUGGGCGUAAAGAGCGUGUAGGCGGCCAGACAGGUCCGUUGUGAAAACUCGAGGCUCAACCUCGAGACGUCGAUGGAAACCGUCGGGCUAGAGUCCGGAAGAGGAGAGUGGAAUUCCUGGUGUAGCGGUGAAAUGCGCAGAUAUCAGGAAGAACACCAAUGGCGAAAGCAGCUUUCUGGGACGGUACUGACGCUGAGACGCGAAAGCGUGGGGAGCGAACAGG